AGCGAACGCUGGCGGCAGGCCUAACACAUGCAAGUCGAACGAAGUCUUCGGACUUAGUGGCGGACGGGUGAGUAACACGUGGGAACGUGCCUUUAGGUUCGGAAUAACUCAGGGAAACUUGUGCUAAUACCGAAUGUGCCCUUCGGGGGAAAGAUUUAUCGCCUUUAGAGCGGCCCGCGUCUGAUUAGCUAGUUGGUGAGGUAAAGGCUCACCAAGGCUACGAUCAGUAGCUGGUCUGAGAGGAUGACCAGCCACAUUGGGACUGAGACACGGCCCAAACUCCUACGGGAGGCAGCAGUGGGGAAUCUUGCGCAGUGGGCGAAAGCCUGACGCAGCCAAGCCGCGUGGAUGAUGAAGGUCUUAGGAUUGUAAAAUCCUUUCACCGGUGAAGAUAAUGACUGUAGCCGGAGAAGAAGUCCCGGCUAACUUCGUGCCAGCCGCCGCGGUAAAAC
rnacentral:rRNA from 1 species